GUGUCAGCCGCCGCGGUAAUACGAAGGGGGCUAGCGUUGCUCGGAAUGACUGGGCGUAAAGGGCGCGUAGGCGGCUUGUUUAGUCAGGCGUGAAAUUCCUGGGCUUAACCUGGGGGCUGCGCUUGAUACAGGCAGGCUUGAGUGCGGAAGAGGGUCGUGGAAUUCCCAGUGUAGAGGUGAAAUUCGUAGAUAUUGGGAAGAACACCGGUGGCGAAGGCGGCGACCUGGUCCGUGACUGACGCUGAGGCGCGAAAGCGUGGGGAGCAAACAGGAUUAGAAACCCUGGUAGUCC
rnacentral:rRNA from 1 species